CUUUUCCCUUUCAGUCUGAGAUAAACUUUGGUUGCGUUCGGUCGGAAAAUCCACGUUGCUCCGUCUCGCGGUCUGGAUCUAGGUGUUGAACAUACACAAGGCGCCUCACAUAGACACAGCCACUGGAGACUUGGAGGUUAAUUCUUGCGGGAUAGACUUCUGCUCCCCGGACCUCUUUCAACGUCUACCGAAGCUACGGGUGGUGACGCAGCGGCAGGUCGCAUUCUAGCAGAGUUUCCAAUCCUGGUAUCGUGUGGAUUGUGAGUUGGAAAUUCAAUGCAUCUGCUCUGAUGAUGUAGGAGAGGUUGGAGUUCAGGUAGUGGAUUUCGGAGUCUGCUGCAUCCGGGCGGAAGUUGUGUUAUGGGCAGUUUCGAUGAGUGGUAUUUUAUGUGUAGAAAUAAAAAGGAAGUACAUAAUCAAGUGAAAAUAGAGCAGUAAGAAAUCGCUAUACAGGUUGCCUAUUAUAUUUAUCCUGAUGAUGUUGCAGAAAUAGUGACGAAGAGCUGAAAUAGAUUGAAUCGUUAAACAAACGGCUGUAUGUCAGUGAGAUUGCAUUAAUGUAAAAGGAAACUCAACGAGGGAGGGAAAAUAAAGGAUAUUACCCGCGCAGAAAGCUCAGAUGAUGCUGAAUGUAAAUUAAUUGUAUGAUGUAAGUGCAAACGGUGAGGAAAGUGUAGAUUGAAGAAGAAUUUCAAUUAUAUCAAAACGAUUUCUCAGAAUAAAGCGAGGAAUCCGUUCCGUGAAGAAAAAAAAAAAUCAUCCCGUUCUGUUAUUGCUGCAGAAGCUACAUUCAAGUGAAGAAGAAAAUAGUGAAUAUUAGUGACACGUGUCUGCCAAUCUGCCAAUGGAGAAAAAACUGUGAGUGAACAAAAUUGAAUUUGCAAUCCACCAACGGUUAUAGCUCAGUGAGUGUUCCAAGCGACGACGACGAUGAUGUGUUUUCGCAGUUGGACGUCAUAAAUUUAGAUCCUGUAACCGGACAUCCGAAAGUGCUUUCGGACACGGUGUGACACAACGAUCUUCAUCUGCCAUGAUUACCACGGGUGGAAAAACGCGUCGACCCUUCGAAGCGGAAACGUAGAGGAAAAUUGCAAUCAGUGGCACUGAACGACACUGUGUUCCCAUUCGGUGAUUCGCUUACCUGGCCGGCAGAAUCAAGGAGAGCGCGCGUAACAAGAUUUUACGUGCAAAGUAACAUACCCUCUGUGAAGUGAGCUUCGGUUCUCCAGGCGCUGCCUUCUGAAGCUCUCAACAUAAAAAGCAAAAACAAAAUUAAAGCACAAAAGCAAGAUUUCCGCCUGUUGCAUCGGGUCCCAAUGGGCACUGUGGAAAAUCCCUGCUGGCGGUUUGUGGAGUGAGGGUUCAAGCAAAGUGAGCAAGUGACUAGAAUAACCACAAGAACCUCAACAGUGCUAGGAUGAUGGUGAGGGUUAAAUGAGGUGGUGGAAGGAAUAGAAGUUUGUAGGAAAAAAGUAGCUGCGAAACAGAAGAGGGUGGUUAACCAUGGCUGCUAUAAUCGAGGAAGCCGUCUUCAACGCACUGCGAGGGCAUCACAACGAAAAGACGAAGCUGCCAUCUCCUCGCAUUAUCAAGAUUUAUGUUGCAAGCUUAAAGGAAGACUUCAAAGAGGAACGACGGUUGCUGCUCGAAGUGAUUGGACCCGAUUUACAGUCGGUUUACGAUGAUCGACAAAUUGAGGUUGAGAUUGUGGACAUUCACUUCGGAACGGGCAGCGGAUGUACGGUGGUAGACUUGGACCCAUAUGUGCUGGAGGACCACCUGUACGAAAUUGAAACGUGCCACCGAGUUUCCAAAAGCGUAUUUUUAAUAGUAUUGUUAGGAUCACGUUUAGGCAAUUUUUUGCUUCCGACGAAGCUAGAUUCGGAAAUUUUUACGGCAAUCAACAAGCGUUCGACGGCGGACGAGUGCGAGUGCCUCAGGAAAUGGUACCAGGAGGAUGCCGCUGCUGGAUGUUACGUACUUCGAACACAGUUCAGGACAAAAGAACGUCAAGAGUGGAUUACGGAAAGUCGGCAACUGAGCGAUAUUCUCGAAAACAAAAUCAAUGAGAUUUUGAAGACAUUCCCGGAUGGUGGCGAAGAAGGCGGAGGAGGAGGAGGGAGCGAAGAGGUUGUUGGUGCAGGAGGAAUCAGCUUAAUCGAUAGAAAACGGUUCUGUGAUAAUCUUAAACGACUGAAAAUUAGAGCACUGGAGCUGGAGAUUCAAAAGGGGCUAGCCUGCUCGAAGGAAAACAUGUUGGCUAUUUUUCGCCAGUGGGAUGCGGAAAACGGAAAUGGCCCCAGCAAUGAGAGUCGAGUGGAGCAAAUCAAAUCAUCUCUACAGGAGUCGCUUCCUGCUGACAAUCAAGAAACGCUAACGGCACCGUGGACAGAGGGAGGAAUUGAUCCAGAGUUGGACAGCCACGAGAGCUAUCUUAACGACUUCAAGGAAUUGAUGUACGACAAGCUGAAGAACGCCAUCGACCAGAGCCUGGCGAAAGAUCCCAACGGAGGAAAGGGCCGGAAGAAGACCGUUCAAGAGAUAUUUUACGAGCACUCGACCCACCUAAUGUACUUGAACGAGCAUCUCAACGCUAGCAAAUACAUAUCAUCUAAAAUCCCGGACCGGAUACGGCAGAACGUGCAGCAAAACUAUCGCUCUGGAAGUCGGCACCCACCGUACUUCAUUUACGGUGGUCACGGCAGUGGCAAAAGCACACUCCUUUCGCACAUCUACACCGAGCUAACGGGCUGGUUCGAACAUAUUAAAGUGCAUCGUGUGAUCCGGUACGCCUCGGCCACCCCCCGGUCCGCCUACAAUCUGGAAUUGCUGAGAGUAAUCUGUCAACAGCUGGCAAUUAUCCUCAAUAUACCGGAAGGCUAUUUGCCGAAGGAUGCCUCGUUUGAUCCGCUCUACAUCAAUAAUUGGUUUCAGAAUCUACUGAAACACUGCGAAGAUUUGCACAACGAGAUAUUGUUUCUCUUCAUCGAUGACCUGCACAGGUUGAACCCACUGGACUGUGACAUUGUGGCAGCUUUGUCGUGGCUUCCCAUCAGCCUGCCGUGGAACGUUUUCCUGGUAGUUUCGACCACUGUGCCAAUCGAUUCGCUUAAGCUAACACCGAUGCAGAAGGAACGGUUUAAAUACUCGGAUUACUUCUUCGAUCUCUCGCUGGAACAGAAUGAGACGAUUGUGCGGAAAGUGGAUAGCUCGCAGUCCUUUGAAGAGUACGUGAACAACAUUUUCAAUGCGAUGGAGAAGCGGUUCGGACGGAAGGGCUUCAGUAAACUGGCAAUCUACAUUACGUGUUCGGAGUAUGGGCUGACCGAAACCGAGUUUCUCGAGCUUUUGAUGCCCACACAGGACUCGGAUGCACUCAUCGAUACGAACGAGGGAGGAUUCAAUUUCUCCACCUUCCGAACGGCCCGGAACGAGAUGAGAGCCCUCUUGCGGGAGAAGCUAAUGUCCGGAAAGUUGCUCAUCGUUUGGCGGCACAGCAUCUGCUCGGAAAUCACCAAAGUGCGCUACAUGACACCGGAUAUUUCCCGGUCGGUCCAUUCGGAAAUUGUGAAUUUGUUCUUCCCGCCGGAUAGUGAAGAGAGUGAUGAGAUUUCCAGCGCACAAAACAGCAGAAAAUCGAGUAUUCAAACGCAGCACGACGAUAACGUGACCCAGAUCAUCACCCUUGGACCGGACAUUUCCUACAGUAUACGGCACGUUGAGGAAUCCUGGCACCAUCUAAUUAAAUCCGAUGACACGAAAAAGCUCAAAGAGAUUGCGGUGUGCAAUUUCGACUUUCUGCUAGCGGCUGUACAAACAGUGUCAAUUAGCUAUCUGCGGUGUUUGAUAGAACACGUGCGGUGUUACAUUUUGGAUCGUGACAUCGAGCUGGUUUACUACACCAUUCGGAAGUCGAGCGAUGUGCUAACGCGGGAUCCAAUGCAGCUGGGAGCACAGCUGAUAUCCUGGCUGAAAUCAGUGGCAGCCCACGAAGGUCCUCAGGCGUUGUUGAGCGUGACGGUUCAAUCAGCGACGGCAUGGUGCGAUGGCUACACGGUUCCUCUGCUGGUGCCCCUGACCGGUUGGCUUCCGGUGCCACUUCCAUCGCAGAUCCGGUGCAUGACGGUUCCCGGCCCUGGACCGGUGCGCUGUAUCGAAGUAUCCCCAUCUAAGCAACACCUAAUCCUCUCGCCCAAGGUGGGCGACCCUCAGCUAUGGCACAUUAUGAGCAACAGUUUGGUUCACACAUUUAAGGGUCACAGCGGUCCGGUAACAUAUAUGAAAGUACAAUGGCAAUACCUGCUCACCGCAUCCGAGGACACAUCUGUUAUCGUAUGGGACAUGCAAACACUGGCGCUGAAGUUGAGAUUAUGCGAACACAUAGCUCCGGUAACAUGUUGCACGCUGGCGCUGGAUAACAAGUACCUUAUCACCAGCAGUGAGGACUCCAGCAUCAUUGUGGCCCUGUUCGAGAGCGGGAAAGUGAUCACAAAAAUAGACCACCACCGAGGACCGGUUACAGCGAUCCACGUAGCAAUGCCCAGCGAGGUCCUGGUCUCGUCCAGUCAUGACGGCACUGUGUGCUUAUGGUCCUUGGACAACUUUACCCUUCUGAACUGCAUCCAGUUGCCACAUCCGGUGCUGAACUUUCAAAUUUCCUGUGAUUCGAUUUUCCUGCUGGCGUACUGCGAGGACAAUGGUCUCUAUCUGCGAGCGCUCGCCACCGGAACCGAGCUCCACGCUUUAAAGGGGCACAAAUCGAAGGUUCGCGCUCUGUGUAUCGCCAUGGACAGCCAACGAGCCAUCGUUGGAGGAGAGGACACCCGAGCCCUGAUCUACGACAUGCACUCCGGUCGUAUAAUUCGAUCUCUUCCGCCAAACCCAGGUCCAGUCACAGCCGUGUACAUAAUGGCCAAGGACGAUUAUCUUAUAACGGCCGGUGGAAACAAAAUCACGUUCUACUCAUUCCGAAACGAAGACUCGAUAGUGAAUUUCUUCCCGAAGAAGAAGAAAACUAUGAAGAAAAUUGCCAAAAGUCGUGUUGCUUUGGCGGCUACGUCAAGCCCUGUGAUUUGUUUCGACAUUUCACGAGAUUCUACGACGGCUGCGGUAGCGUCGAGUCGAUGCAUCCAAAUAUGGCAGCUGAAUACUCCGGAAUUGACGGCAAUUCUCGAAGGACACACUGGAACAGUGACGUGCGUGAGUUUUGCGCCAAACUGCGAAUUUGUUGCCUCUGGAUCUGAAGACAAAACUGUAAACGUGUGGAGUUUAGCGUUGGGAUCGAUAGUGACAACUUUUAAAGGGCAUAACACGUUUGUCACCUCGGUUACAUUCUUGAUGGAUUCACGGCGGAUUAUUUCCGCGGAUCGGGAAAGUUGCCUGUUCGUGUGGAUGGCCGACUCAGGAACUAUUCUUCAAAGUGUUCAGGGACCCUUCAAAUGCUUAGCAGUUACGAACAAUAUGAAGUUUGCAGUGUGCACAAAUGGAGACACCAGCUUACGGAUAUGGUCACUCACGCGGGAAGAUGAGAAGUUCUUGGUAUCGCAUUCUGGUGAGAUUACGUGCUUUAUCAUAACCGCUGAUUCCCUGUAUUUGAUAUCGGGGUCCAAGGAUAUGUCCCUGAAGGUGUGGCAAGCCUCGGGAGGUAAACUGGCUCAGGUUUUGGUCGGACAUACCGAUGCAGUUACUUGCGUGGCGGUUUCCGUUACGAAUAAGAGUCAAGUCAUAUCAGGAUCCAAGGACUCUAACCUUAUUAUUUGGGAUAUUCAUACGGGCGAAGAAAUUCAUACGCUUGCUGGUCAUCUGGGUCCAGUGACGUGCGUAAAGGUUUCGGCGGAUGGUACCACUGCUGUUUCCGGAAGUGACGACAAAACCCUUAUUGUAUGGGAAAUAAAACGUGGAUUAGCUCUGACAUCGUUGCAACUUCAUGUUCAAUUCACUAGAUUUGAUAUCAGUCUAGAGUGUUCUAGGAUCGUGGUCCAACUAGUGGACAGUUCGUGUCUUCCCAUCAUAUGUUUGCAUAAUUCACCUGCUUCGUACAUUAAACUCCCAACCUACUCAGCACCGGCACGUGACGUUGAAGAUCUACGACCAGCGGGUCCCAAGCGACCAGCACGUAGAUUACUGAAGAAGGAAGUUUCCCUGGAUACCUACACCUGGCAAAAGAAGUAUGCCCAUCUGACUUCAUCGGUCAUGAUGGCACAGGUGGACGAAAGACUGAAACGACGCUUCUCUGUGUCGGCUAGUAUGGAAGAAAUCUCCAAGCUAGCGGAAUCCAAGACUAUGGAAUCCCAACAGAACCUUGGCCCAGAACAGGCUGCUCUGGCCCAAUCUCAGCACUUUGAUCAGUUGGAAGCUCUGUGGAAUAAGCGAUCUCCUCCAAGAAGACGAGUUAAUGCGUCACUCUCACGCCAGUCCUCCCUGGUGGAAGACCGCAUCGAAUCGUCCGAUGAAGAUGAGUUCCUGGAAGAACGUGCAGCAUAGUCCGUUCCGUUCUGAGAAAGUUUGUAGUUAGUUGAAGUAUUUUACGCUUAUUACCAUACGUUCUAGCGGAUUAAGUGUUGAUGUACCAAAAAAGUGACCGUUACAUUAAAUCAAUUUCACAAGUUUUAUAGGUUCACCGAGCGUGUAAGCGUGGUGCGUGCAUUUCCGACAUUCCAGCAAAUUUAGUUUUGCUCUCAAUCGACUACAGCGCCAGUGUAUAGAAACAGAAGCACAGUAGAAAAAAGCUUACCCUUUCCAUAUAUGUUAACAGUUUAAUGGCAGCAAAUGCUUGGAAGCUUUUCCCCCAUUGAAACGUGCGCAGCCAAAUCUGAAAGCUCGCAAACGCUAACUCUUCAUCCACCCACACUCAUGAGAAGCAUCUAAAAAUCACACCAGAAUCACGAAUCUUUUAUAGUACCCACAAACGAACAAAAAAUUGAAAAGCUCACAAAAAGGCCGUGAAUUAUGUACACUAUUGGAAAUAUGUAAGGACAUCGUUUGUGUGAUGACAAAACCAAUUGGAUCCAGUUAAGGGUUUUGUUAUCCUCGUUACAACUUUUCCAUUGCCCCAGCUCCACUUUAAAGCUCCAUUGUUCUCUAGAAUGCUUAAGUGAUAGACAUUAAGGUUCGGUGGAUUUCAAUUAAGUAUGCCGUCAAAUAUUGAUCAAGUUCGAGAUAUGGAUAGCUGCGUUUAAUUAACUGUAUGUGUUCAAGAAGAUACAAAUGCCCUGAAAAUGUUGUUACAUUUAAAGUAUUAUCAAAAAAGAGAUAUUCAACUGAUAUUGUUUGUGCCGAAUAAUGUCGAAAUCAUGAUAAAUGCAAUGUGAAACAAAAUAGGAACAGGAAGAAAAUCCAUAAAAAAUUCUGUUAGAAACUGAUUUGCCAAAUACGCAUUUGCUAGAGUAUGAGUAACACAAACAUCUGGAAUAUGAAUAUUGCAAGGAGUAUAGCUACUCUUAUAUAAAUUUUUAAUUUAAUAUCUGUCUUGAUAUUUUUUUUAAACACUAAUGUUGUUCCAUAAAUAAGGCCCAAGUAUUUGCCUAUCUAUCUCAGCUUCUGGUAGUCUAAAAGUUGGAUAUUUUGUUGGAAAACAUCAUUUGGCUAAUAACUUUUGUUAAUGAUUGAAGAUAUUCUGGAUUGGACAAUACAACUAUCCUAACAAUGAGCUUUUUUAACGACAUAUAAUUUGCUGCUGUAGUUCAUAUUUUUUGUCAACUGAACUGACAUCCUCUGUUUAUGAGAUAAAGAAAUCUUUUCAACAAACUUGACCUAAUUCAAACUAUAGAUAUAAACAACUACCG